rnacentral:rRNA from 1 species
AACGAACGUUGGCGGCGUGGAUAAGGCAUGCAAGUCGUGGGAAUCCCAGCAAUGGGGGAACCGGCGUAAGGGGCAGUAAGGCGUAGGUACCUACCCGGGGGUUGGGCAUAGCCCGUAGAGAUACGGGGUAAUUCCCAGCGAUGUCGAAAGACCAAAGCUCCGGCGCCCUCGGAGGGGCCUACGGGAUAUUAGCUAGUUGGUGAGGUAACGGCUCACCAAGGCGAAGAUGUCUAGCGGGUGUGAGAGCACGACCCGCGCCACUGGCACUGAGACACUGGCCAGACACCUACGGUUGGCUGCAGGCGAGGAUCUUCGGCAAUGGGGGCAACCCUGACCGGGCGACGCCGCGUGGGCGAUGAAGGCCUUCGGGUUGUAAAGCCCUGUCGAGGGGGAGAAAAGUCAAAAGCUUGAUCUAUCCCUGGAGGAAGCACGGGCUAAGUUCGUGCCAGCCGCCGCUGUAAUAC